AGUGGUGUAGUGCAGUCUGGUCAGCACAUUUGUUUUGGGUACACAAAGGGCAAAAGGUUUGAAUCCUGUCACCUUGA
rnacentral:tRNA from 1 species